UACAGAGGGUGCAAGCGUUGUCCGGAAUUAUUGGGCGUAAAGAGCUUGUAGGCGGUUUGUCGCGUCUGCUGUGAAAAUCCGGGGCUCAACCCCGGACUUGCAGUGGGUACGGGCAGGCUAGAGUGUGGUAGGGGAGACUGGAAUUCCUGGUGUAGCGGUGAAAUGCGCAGAUAUCAGGAGGAACACCGAUGGCGAAGGCAGGUCUCUGGGCCACUACUGACGCUGAGAAGCGAAAGCAUGGGGAGCGAACAGG
rnacentral:rRNA from 1 species